rnacentral:rRNA from 1 species
GGCGGCUUCGGCUGCCGUUUACAGAUGACCCGCGGCGCAUUAGCUAGUUGGUGAGGUAARGGCUCACCAAGGCGACGAUGCGUAGCCGACCUGAGAGGGUGAUCGGCCACACUGGGACUGAGACACGGCCCAGACUCUACGGGAGGCAGCAGUAGGGAAUCUUCCGCAAUGGACGAAAGUCUGACGGAGCAACGCCGCGUGAGUGAUGAAGGUUUUCGGAUCGUAAAGCUCUGUUGUUAGGGAAGAACAAGUACCGUUCGAAUAGGGCGGUACCUUGACGGUACCUAACCAGAAAGCCACGGCUAACUACGUGCCAGCAGCCGCGGUAAUACGUAGGUGGCAAGCGUUGUCCGGAAUUAUUGGGCGUAAAGCGCGCGCAGGCGGURUCUUAAGUCUGAUGUGAAAGCCCCCGGCUCAACCGGGGAGGGUCAUUGGAAACUGGGGAACUUGAGUGCAGAAGAGGAGAGUGGAAUUCCACGUGUAGCGGUGAAAUGCGUAGAGAUGUGGAGGAACACCAGUGGCGAAGGCGACUCUCUGGUCUGUNACUGACGCUGAGGCGNGAAAGCGUGGGGAGCGAACAGGAUUAGAUANCCUGGUAGUCCACGCSGUAAACGAUGAGUGCUAAGUGUUAGAGGGUUUCC